rnacentral:rRNA from 1 species
UACGUAGGGCGCAAGCGUUAUCCGGAAUUAUUGGGCGUAAAGAGCUCGUAGGCGGCUUGUCGCGUCGACUGUGAAAUCCCGCGGCUCAACUGCGGGUCUGCAGUCGAUACGGGCAGGCUAGAGUUCGGUAGGGGAGACUGGAAUUCCUGGUGUAGCGGUGAAAUGCGCAGAUAUCAGGAAGAACACCCGUGGCUAAGGCGGCUCUCUAGUACGGUACUGACGCUGAGACGCGAAAGCGUGGGGAGCGAACAGG